rnacentral:rRNA from 1 species
UCCUCUGACCACUCUAGAGUAUAGAGCCUUCCCCUUCGGGGGCACAGAGUGACAGGUGGUGCAUGGUUGUCGUCAGCUCGUGUCGUGAGAUGUUGGGUUAAGUCCCGCAACGAGCGCAACCCUUGAUCUUAGUUGCCAGCAUUAAGUUGGGCACUCUAAGGUGACUGCCGGUGACAAACCGGAGGAAGGUGGGGAUGACGUCAAAUCAUCAUGCCCCUUAUGACCUGGGCUACACACGUGCUACAAUGGACGGUACAAAGGGCAGCAAAACCGCGAGGUCGAGCCAAUCCCAUAAAACCGUUCUCAGUUCGGAUUGUAGGCUGCAACUCGCCUACAUGAAGUCGG